rnacentral:lncRNA from 1 species
UUAUAAAAGAGGUUAAGAUAGAGUAUAAGAUUUGUAAGAAGUCUUAUAAGUGAAGUUGAGAGCUAUUAAAGAGUUUGAAAGUGAUUGAAAAGUUUAGGGGUGACAACUUCUACUAUUAGAAGAAAAAUAUAGAACUUUUGUUGGCUUCAUUGGACCUUUGAUACAUUAUAAAGUGAAGAGCCUCCAAGUAAUGAUGUUGAUGUCAAGAUGUAAAAGGAGUACAAACAUUGUAAAAGGAAGAUUUUUGACAUGAUUGCAUCAAAUUUGAAUGAUGCCAAUUUUUUUAUAUAUAAUUACUUGUAAUGGAUUAGAUUAAGCAUGGAAGACUCUUUGUAACAUCUAUGAGAGUAGAAACCUUGUCAAUAUUCUCUAGACAAGAAGAAAGUUCUUAAUAAUAAAGAUAAAAGAGAGAGAUGACC